rnacentral:rRNA from 1 species
ACGCUCGACACCUACGGGAGGCAGCAGUGAGGGAUAUUGGUCAAUGGGGGAAACCCUGAACCAGCAACGCCGCGUGAGGGAUGACGGUCUUCGGAUUGUAAACCUCUGUCCUCUGUGAAAGAUAAUGACGGUAGCAGAGGAGGAAGCUCCGGCUAACUACGUGCCAGCAGCCACGGUAAUCUGAGCGGGCUGGCAAGGC